GACGAACGCUGGCGGCGUGCUUAACACAUGCAAGUCACGGGGGCCCGCAAGGGUAACCGGCGAACGGGUGCGUAACACGUGAGCAAUCUGCCUAGAUCUGGGGGAUAGCCGGCCCAACGGCCGGGUAAUACCGCAUACGCUCGCUGAGUGGCAUCACUUGACGAGGAAACCUCCGGGGGAUCUAGAGGAGCUCGCGGCCUAUCAGCUAGUUGGUGGGGUAACGGCCUACCAAGGCAAUGACGGGUAGCUGGUCUGAGAGGAUGGCCAGCCACAUUGGGACUGAGAUACGGCCCAGACUCCUACGGGAGGCAGCAGUGGGGAAUAUUGCGCAAUGGCCGAAAGGCUGACGCAGCGACGCCGCGUGAGGGAUGAAGCAUUUCGGUGUGUAAACCCCUGUUGCUCGGGACGAACAAGCGAUUUCGAUCGCUCUGACGGUACCGGGUGAGGAAGCACCGGCUAACUCCGUGCCAGCCGCCGCAGUAAAAC
rnacentral:rRNA from 1 species